rnacentral:rRNA from 1 species
AAAUUGAAGAGUUUGAUCAUGGCUCAGAUUGAACGCUGGCGGCAGGCCUAACACAUGCAAGUCGAGCGGCAGCGGGAAAGUAGCUUGCUACUUUUGCCGGCGAGCGGCGGACGGGUGAGUAAUGCCUGGGA